rnacentral:rRNA from 1 species
AGAGCGAACGCUGGCGGCAGGCCUAACACAUGCAAGUCGAGCGGCCGUAGCAAUACGGCAGCGGCAGACGGGAGAGUAACACGUGGGAACGUGCCCUUCAGUUCGGAACAACCAAGGGAAACUUUGGCUAAUACCGGAUACGCCCUUACGGGAAAGAUUUAUCGCUGAAGGAGCGGCCCGCGUCUGAUUAGCUAGUUGGUGAGGUAAUGGCUCACCAAGGCGACGAUCAGUAGCUGGUCUGAGAGGAUGAUCAGCCUCACUGGGACUGAGACACGGCCCAGACUCCUACGGGAGGCAGCAGUGGGGAAUAGUUGGACAAGUGGGCGCAAGCCUGAUCCAGCCAU